GGUGGCGUAGCUCAGCUGGCAGAGCAGUGGAAUCAUAAUCCACGGGUCAGGGGUUCGACUCCCUUCGCCACCA
rnacentral:tRNA from 1 species